UACAGAGGCCUCGAGCGUUAGGCGGAAUCACUGGGCUUAAAGCGUGUGUAGGCGGACUUCUAAGUACCUUGUGAAAUCCCACGGCUCACCCGUGGAACUGCUCGGUAUACUGGUCGUCUUGAGCCUUCUAGGGGCGAGUGGAACAAAUGGUGGAGCGGUGAAAUGCGUAGAUAUCGGGAGGAACACCAAUGGCGAAGGCAGCUCGCUGGGACGUGACUGACGCUGAGACGCGAAAGCGUGGGGAGCAAACAGG
rnacentral:rRNA from 1 species